AUUGAACGCUGGCGGCAUGCCUUACACAUGCAAGUCGAACGGUAACAGGUCUUCGGAUGCUGACGAGUGGCGAACGGGUGAGUAAUACAUCGGAACGUGCCUAGUAGUGGGGGAUAACUACUCGAAAGAGUGGCUAAUACCGCAUGAGAUCUACGGAUGAAAGCAGGGGAUCGCAAGACCUUGUGCUACUAGAGCGGCCGAUGGCAGAUUAGGUAGUUGGUGGGAUAAAAGCUUACCUAGCCGACGAUCUGUAGCUGGUCUGAGAGGACGAUCAGCCACACUGGGACUGAGACACGGCCCAGACGCCUACGGGAGGCAGCAGUGGGGAAGUUUGGACAAUGGGCGCAAGCCUGAUCCAGCAAUGCCGCGUGCAGGAUGAAGGCCUUCGGGUUGUAAACUGCUUUUGUACGGAACGAAAAGCCCCGGGUUAAUACCCUGGGGUCAUGACGGUACCGUAAGAAUAAGCACCGGCUAACUACGUGCCAGCCGCCGCCGUAG
rnacentral:rRNA from 1 species